rnacentral:rRNA from 1 species
UACGUAGGUGGCGAGCGUUGUCCGGAAUUACUGGGUGUAAAGGGCGUGUAGGCGGGGAUGUAAGUCAGAUGUGAAAUUCCGGGGCUCAACUCCGGACCUGCAUCUGAAACUAUGUCUCUUGAGUGCCGGAGAGGAAAGCGGAAUUCCCAGUGUAGCGGUGAAAUGCGUAGAGAUUGGGAGGAACACCAGUGGCGAAGGCGGCUUUCUGGACGGUAACUGACGCUGAGGCGCGAAAGCGUGGGGAGCAAACAGG